UCUUAUGGAUGAGCAAAGAAAGUGGUUUUCUGAGAUGGAGACUACUCCUGAUGCAGAUGCUGUGAA
rnacentral:pre_miRNA from 2 species